rnacentral:rRNA from 1 species
CAAUAGCGUAUAUUAAAGUUGUUGCGGUUAAAGCUCGUAGUUGGAUUUCUGCCGAGGACGACCGGUCCGCCCUCUGGGUGAGUAUCUGGCUCGGCCUGGGCAUCUUCUUGGAGAACGUAUCUGCACUUGACUGUGUGGUGCGGUAUCCAGGACUUUUACUUUGAGGAAAUUAGAGUGUUUCAAGCAGGCAUACGCCUUGAAUACAUUAGCAUGGAAUAAUAAGAUAGGACCUCGGUUCUAUUUUGUUGGUUUCUAGAGCUGAGGUAAUGAUUAAUAGGGACAAUUGGGGCGAUCCGUAUUUCGUUGUCAGAGGUGAAAUUCUUGGAUUUACGAAAGACGAACAACUGCGAAAGCACUUGCCAAGAGUGUUUUCAUUAAUCAAGAACGAAAGUUAGAGGAUCGAAGAUGAUCAGAU